UACGGGGGAGCAAGCGUUGUUCGGAUUUACUGGGCGUAAAGGGCGCGUAGGCGGCCAGCACAAGUCAGUUGUGAAAUCUCCGGGCUUAACUCGGAAAGGUCAACUGAUACUGUGCGGCUAGAGUGCAGAAGGGGCAACUGGAAUUCUCGGUGUAGCGGUGAAAUGCGUAGAUAUCGAGAGGAACACCUGCGGCGAAGGCGGGUUGCUGGGCUGACACUGACGCUGAUGCGCGAAAGCCAGGGAGCGAACGGG
rnacentral:rRNA from 1 species